UCAUAUUUAAGGAAGGACAAGCAGGAAGUGGCCCCCUUUUCCCUCAGCUCUUCCUCCAGAUUCGCGAUGUGAUCCACCAGCAAGGGAGGAUGCCAUGGAAGGCGUCCGAUAAGAGUAAGUGAUAUGGGCAUAUCAAUCAGUGUGGCAAGAUCUACAAGAAAGAUGUGAAGAAAUCCAGUUUUCUAUUUCUCAG
rnacentral:lncRNA from 1 species